GACCGGCGCAAGGGUGCGUAACGCGUGAGCAACAUGCCCGUAUCAGGGGAAUAAUCCAGGGAAACUUGGUCUAAUACCCCAUAGUAAAUAUUAAAGGCAUCUUUAAUAUUUUAAAGCUUUGGUGGAUACGGAUUGGCUCGCGUGACAUUAGCUGGAUGGUAAGGUAACGGCUUACCAUGGCUACGAUGUCUAGGGGUUCUGAGAGGAAGAUCCCCCACACUGGAACUGAGACACGGUCCAGACUCCUACGGGAGGCAGCAGUGAGGAAUAUUGGACAAUGGAUGGAAAUCUGAUCCAGCCAUGCCGCGUGCAGGAAGACGGCCCUAUGGGUUGUAAACUGCUUUUAUAUGGGAGCAAUAAGGCCUACGUGUAGGUUGAUGAGAGUACCAUAUGAAUAAGCACCGGCUAACUCCGUGCCAGCAGCCGCGGUAAUACGGAGGGUGCAAGCGUUAUCCGGAUUUAUUGGGUUUAAAGGGUGCGUAGGCGGUUUGAUAAGUCAGCGGUGAAAUAUUUCAGCUUAACUGGAAGGGUGCCGUUGAUACUGUCAGGCUUGAAUUUAGUUGCUGUGGGUGGAAUGUGUGGUGUAGCGGUGAAAUGCAUAGAUAUCACACAGAAUAUCGAUUGCGAAGGCAGCUCACAAAGCUAACAUUGACGCUGAUGCACGAAAGUGUGGGGAUCAAACAGGAUUAGAUACCCUGGUAGUCCACACUGUAAACGAUGAUAACUCGCUGUCGGCGAUACAUAGUCGGUGGCCAAGCGAAAGCGAUAAGUUAUCCACCUGGGGAGUACGACCGCAAGGUUGAAACUCAAAGGAAUUGACGGGGGCCCGCACAAGCGGAGGAACAUGUGGUUUAAUUCGAUGAUACGCGAGGAACCUUUACCGGGCUCGAACGGUGCAUGAAUGAU
rnacentral:rRNA from 1 species